rnacentral:rRNA from 1 species
UUCAACGGCUGCGGUAUUCUGACCGUACGAAGGUAGCGUAAUCACUUGUCUUCUAAAUAAAGACCUGUAUGAACGGCAUAACGAGAACUAAACUGUCUCCCCCAUCCAAUCAGUGAAACUGAUCUCCCCGUGCAGAAGCGGGGCUAAUAUCAUAAGACGAGAAGACCCUGUGGAGCUUCAAAACCAACAUCACCUGCCUUAUUUAACACACCCGCGCAGAAAUGAUUUUGAUUUUUCAGCUGGGGCGCCUAUGGAGAAUAAUCAAUCCUCCAUGAAGAAUUUACUACGAAUAACAUUUCUAAGUUUUAAUAUACUUAACUUUAAUUGAUCCAAUCUAUUGAUCAACGGACCAAGUUACCCCAGGGAUAACAGCGCAAUCCACUUUUAGAGUCCCUAUCGACAAGUGGGCUUACGACCUCGAUGUUGGAUUAGGGCAUCCUAGUGGUGCAACCAUUACUAAAGGUUCGUUUGUUCAACGAUUAAAG